rnacentral:rRNA from 1 species
GAGUUUGAUCGUGGCUCAGAAUCAACGCUGGCGGCGUGGCUAAGACAUGCAAGUCGAACGGUGUAGCAAUACACAGUGGCGGACGGGUGAGUAAUGUAUCGCUAAUGUGCCCCGGAGACAGGGAUAGCCAUCCGAAAGGGUGGGUAAUACCUGAUGAUAUAACUUUGUCGCAUGGCAGAGUUCUCAAAAGCAGCAAUGUGCUCUGGGAGCAGGCGAUAUCGUAUCAGCUAGUUGGUGAGGUAACGGCUCACCAAGGCGAUGACGCGUAGCUGGUCUGAGAGGACGACCAGCCACAUCGGGACUGAGACACUGCCCGGACUCCUACGGGGGGCUGCAGUAACGAAUCUUCCGCAAUGCACGAAAGUGUGACGGAGCGACGCCGCGUGGAGGAGAAGUCCUUCGG